rnacentral:rRNA from 1 species
GCUUAACACAUGCAAGUCGAACGAGAGGACAAGAGAAGCUUGCUUCUUUUGGAAUCGAGUGGCAAACGGGUGAGUAACACGUAAACAACCUGCCUUCAGGAUGGGGACAACAGACGGAAACGACUGCUAAUACCGAAUACGCUUGGGAGACCGCAUGAUCUACCAAGGAAAGGGUGGCCUCUACCUGUAAGCUAUCGCCUGAAGAGGGGUUUGCGUCUGAUUAGGCAGUUGGUGAGGUAACGGCCCACCAAACCUACGAUCAGUAGCCGGUCUGAGAGGAUGAACGGCCACACUGGAACUGAGACACGGUCCAGACUCCUACGGGAGGCAGCAGUGGGGAAUCUUCCGCAAUGGGCGAAAGCCUGACGGAGCAACGCCGCGUGAGUGAUGACGGCCUUCGGGUUGUAAAGCUCUGUGAUCGGGGACGAACGGUCCGUAAGCCAAUACCUUAUGGAAGUGACGGUACCCGAAUAGCAAGCCACGGCUAACUACGUG